UCAAGGGUUUGCAGUCUAGCUCUAAGGAGACUAUUAUGUUAGCUUCAGCCUAAGAUAGAUUGUUGAGAUUAGAAUAUGUGAAUAUUCAUCCUGUCAAUGAGUCAAUUUUUGUUAGUUUCUGUUUCAGUGCCUAGAAAAUGGAAGACUUGGAAAGGAGAAUCAAUAUGUUACUCAAAUAUGGAAGCCUGAGUGUUGUCUCUUGUGGAGUGCUCAGUGGAAAAGGAAAUUUUACCUCGAACCCUUGCUUGCAAUCCCCUUCAGUUUUCUGACUGUACUCUCACUCUGCAGGAAAGGACAUUUGCAACAGAAGAUUGAAAGGUCAUCUCUCCUGUGCUCCUGGAGUCCUGUGUCCCACAAGACAGCUCCUUUGGGAGCAUUCCUCACACCAUCUUCAAAGUGCCAUCAUGACCUGGCACAACAGAGAAAAAAGGCAUCUGCUGGGUCCUAGUCCCACUAAGUAAAGUGGGGAAGGGGAUUAAAAUAUCUUCUGCGUGGUGAGACAAUCCAGUCAGAAGAUG